rnacentral:piRNA from 1 species
UAAACCAUUUAGGUGUCUGGUGUGGGACAGU